UUGGACUGGGUAACUCCCAAGCGUGCCCUGCACUGCUGCUCUGUGAGAGUGAGUCCCUGUGAUUCAUGCUGGAAAUGGCUCAAUAACCCUCCCUUUAUUGAUUUCCUGUCCCUCUCUGUCUCAUCUCCCCACUCUGCCACCUCUCAAGUACACUCCCUUCAGGGUCAGGGGGACCUCAACACAAAACAGAAUUUGUCCUGCUGCCUGGCACAGCGUCUUUACAGUGAUGCUAUUGGAGGCUCUCCCCAGCAUUUCCACCAUCUUAUCACGUCUCUUCUAAAGGUGAACAGUUGAAACUGCAGACUUAAAAAAGUCGACGCUGGCUGCUGUGAGGACACCAUGCAGUAGGAGCUACCACUGCAGUAAUCCCUGAGGUACAUGGUGAUGAACUGGACCACAGUGGUUGCAGUGAAGAUGACUCCAACGCAGUGAGUGCAGAGAUGACACCUGUUUCUGCUCACCGCCGUAUCCUGAGCUCCUGGCUGACAGCUUGUCAUGCAGCAGGCAGUCAGUAAAUAACUGCUGAUGAGGGAACGAGCGGAUGGAAAGCUCAAUCCAACGAACAGGGUAGAAGAUCACACUAGAUAAUGUCAUUUGGGGAUAAAAUAAAAUGUGACUGUCAGUCACGCCCAGUGCCAUGCAGGGUACCUGGUAUGCAGCUCCGAAAGUAUUUGCAGUUGACUAAUUAAUGCAUGAAUGAGGUAUAUCUCUUUUAUAAAAGUCCACCUUCUUGUGUGCCUUAAUUAAUGGAAUAAUUGUGGAUCCUCCCAAGAUCACUUUGGAGAAGACACAGUCUGACUGCAUUUGGGUGCAGCUCUCUGGGGCCUGGCUAACUCAGCCAUACUCUUGUUUCCAGCAUGGAGUGCCUUGGUCCAAUGGCCAGCAGGUGGCAACAAAUGGUUGUUAAAGUGGCGGCCGAGCACUGGAGGCCCUCUCCAGAACAGGUGUCUCUCCUGCUGUGCCUCCAGGACCUGUGUUUUGGAAACGCCAGCAAGCCAGCCCAACAGGCCCUUUUGGACUUACAGUUCCGAGUAAUUGCACCGGAGAGCUGAAGAGCCAAAGGCAGUUGAUGUGCAUAUCCAGGCUUCUUCAGGCAUGAGAUUUCAUCCGGUUCACACCAGAUGACCUGCCUCUGUCAGGUCUCAGUCUGUCUGGAAUCGUCAGUUUCUUCUGUUUUGUUUUGUUUUAGCCAAGCUCAGUGCCAUGCAAUCAGGCUGACAGUCUGUAGUCAAGACUGGGUUUGUUAUCACUGGAUUACACAAAGGCUUCUUAUUACAAAGAGGUUGCUGACCACUCAUCAUGGGUCCCCUCUACCUUGGUGCUGUUUCUUCCAGGGGCAGGGAUGAAUUUGUCCCUGUCCUGCUUCACACUCUCCCUCUUUCUUUUAGUCUAAUGGUAGAGGGGAGAUCACCCUAUAUCGCGAUCCUGUUGUCCACCGCCUCAUUCCUGCGGCAGCUUAGCUGUGCACUUGACAUACGUCAUGUGUCUGAGCUCACUUAGGUACAAGAACCAGGAGGGGAAUCUGAUAAUUCUGAUUCUAAACACAGUGCUCUGUCCACUACAUUCAUGGUUCAAAUGGUGCUCCAAGAAGCCCUUCUGAGGUGGCCAUGAGCGAAGGGAAGAAGGAGGGAUGGCGGACAGGGAGGAGUGGCCGAAAAGGUGGUGCUCCCUGCUUCCCACCCUUCCUUCAUCUAGAACAGCUGUGCUGUAACUUUUAAAAUAUAUGUGGCCGGGCGCGGUGGCUCAAGCCUGUAAUCCCAGCACUUUGGGAGGCCGAGGCAGGUGGAGCACGAGGUCAAGAGAUCGAGAGCAUCCUGGUCAACAUGGUGAAACCCCAUCUCUACUAAAAAUCAAAAAAUUAGCUGGGCAUGGUGGUGCGUACCUGUAAUCCCAGCUACUCAGGAGGCUGAGGCAGGAGAAUUGCCUGAACCCAGGAGGUGGAGGUUGUGGUGAGCCGAGAUCACGCCAUUGCACUCCAGCCUGGGUAACAAGAGCGAAACUCUGUCUCAAAAAAAUAAAAAUAAAUAAAAUAUAUGUGUGUGUACAUUAAAGUAUAUAUGUAAUCUUUCUCUUAACUUUCCUUUCAGAAGGUGGAGAAAAAUCUGUGCCUCCUCCUCUCAAGGGAUACUUUGUCUCUGGGGUACUUUUUGACCCAGUGGGCCCCUGGCAGAAAUAAGCGUGGGCUGUGACUACAGGACCAUGCAGAGCCAACAGGAACCGAAGCCAGGCCUUGGCCACGGCAGCUCCGGGGCCAACCACUUGAUCAAUGCAGGAAAUGCUUUGAUGGCAGAAUUCUUCCAUGGCCGGCUUCUCAUAUUCUCUGGGGCAGACACAAACUAAGAAAAGUGAGUGGUGCAGGACAGGAUGUGCCCUUCCUGUACCCCUGCUGGGAGCAAAACGUAGAUUUUGAACUUUUCUUUUACACACAGUCUGGGUAACAACAGUCUGAAGGAAAACUAAGGAAGCCUGGGAGUCUAAGUUCAAUGACAAGUGAAGAAGUGAGGCAGAGGGAAAGGAGAAUUGAGAGAGAAAAGCCUCAGGCUGGGUGUCUGGAGAGGUUGGGGGACUAGGGAGGGAGGAGAUAUAAUUGGCCAGAGAACUGGAGAGUGGGUGAGGAGUGCAAACAUGAUUUUUGAGGCGCUUUGUUGGAUAUUUCAAAUGUACUCCUACCUUUGGCAUUUUCUCAAGAGGCAGGAAAGAUUUGUUUUCAAUUCUAUUUUUCUGCUGGACUGAACCAGUGCCAAGACUGGACCGUGUAGGAUCCUGGGUUUAUUUCGGUUACAUAAGCGAACUUUGCUGUGAUUUGGAAUAGUCAAAGCCAUGAAUGUUUUUCAACUUCCAUUUUGUCAGCUGCUUGAGUUUCUAUUCUGAGAGGUGCUAACAGUUAUAACAUUGUUAUUCACUUGUGUUUCCUAAAUAACUUUUAAUCAGUUUUAAUUUGAAACAAGAUUGUUCUGUUGACACUAUCACAAGAAUGAUCAAAAAUGAAAUUAAUAAAGAAUUCACUUCGGAAAAAAAUUUUCACUAAUAUUAUGGUAUUUUAUAAUAUCUUUCUCAGCAGAGACACAGAUAAUUAAAAAUUUUUAAUUUUGUUUUUAAGUGUUUUUCCUCAAAGCGAUAAUAGAUAUAGCCUUGGUAAAGAGUUUAGUGAAACAUUAGUUUUCACCUCUCAUGCAUUUUGUAUAAUGAAAUUUUCCUAUCAUCUUCUAGUGGAAUUAAUUGCAUUGGUGUAAAAAAUGCAAUCAGAUCAGUGACUGUAUUUAGCCUUUGAAACCUCAUGACUAGCUGGGAUAGUUAAUAUUCAUUACACACUGAAAAAUGAUAAGCAGUAAUCUUUUCUCCUAAAAAACUGCCAAAGAGAAGUUUCUCAGGGCUCUCGAAAUAGCAUAAAGCUGACAAUACGAGAAAUGUUAAAAUACUGUUGGAGUUUUUAAUCAAAUCUUCCCUCUCUUCUUUUCCUGUUUUUUAAGACAAUGGUAGUUAUUUGUCCACUAAUCAUUAAUGUAUGAUUUUCUAACAAAGACUUGCAUAUCCUUUUGGCUAAAAAGUGGCCAAAUAUCAAAGAGCUAGUAAUUUGGGAGACAGCCAUUAGUCUGUUCCAAAGCAUAUAAGCUCUUUUGAAUCCUUUUGGGUAAAUGUCUGGCAAAGAUCAAACAGAAUUCAUAAAGGAUUUCUGAUACACAGUGAAAUGUGCCUGUGAGGACUCUAUACAUGAUAAUAAUCUAAGCAUGCUCUCUUUUAGUCCCAAAACUUGUAAUGUUACAUGAAAUUUACAGGAGGCCAUUGAUUUGGACUGAGCUCCUGCACUAGGCCAAACAGACCAAACCAAAAUGGCGUCACUCAUGCUGAAAUUCACACCACCAAGCCAAAACUAAGUUGUUUAUCUUCCAAGACAUUAGGAGAGAUAACAGCCCAAUCCCCAAACAGGCCGGUUUUAGCUAGCAUGAUGAGGAGGUCCCCUCUGCUUCAGCCUUUAGGAGGAAAGUAACUUUGAAACAACCAGUCUGCUUUUUGUUCUCUGCUUCUGCCUGCCUCAACCCCUUUCUGACCAUAAAAGCAACAUCCUCUGCUUGGCUCAUGGGAACACUCAUUCUAUUUUGUACAGUGAGGUGUUGCCCGAUAUUCUAGAUUUGCAAAUAAAAGCCAAUUAAA